rnacentral:rRNA from 1 species
AGGGUUUGACAUGCAAGUGGUAGGAAGCCGAAAGGCGACCGACCCCUCGGGGAGCUUGCACAGGUGCUGCAUGGCUGUCGUCAGCUCGUGUCGUGAGAUGUUCGGUUAAGUCCGCUAACGAGCGCAACCCUCGCUGCGUGUUACAAGUGUCACGUGGGACUGCCGGUCUUAAGCCGGAGGAAGGUGGGGAUGACGUCAAGUCAGCAUGGCCUUUAUAUCCUGGGCUACACACACGCUACAAUGGCCAACACAAUAGGUUGCUAAGCCGCGAGGUGGAGCCAAUCCUCAAAGUUGGUCUCAGUUCAGAUUGUAGGCUGAAACUCGCCUGCAUGAAGAUGGAGUUGCUAGUAACCGCAGGUCAGCUAUACUGCGGUGAAUACGUUCCCGGGGCUU